rnacentral:rRNA from 1 species
UGCCGCGUGUAUGAAGAAGGNCUUCGGGUUGUAAAGUACUUUCAGUGGUGAGGAAGGGAGUGUGGUUAAUAGCCAUAUUCUUUGACGUUAGCCACAGAAGAAGCACCGGCUAACUCCGUGCCAGCAGCCGCGGUAAUACGGAGGGUGCGAGCGUUAAUCGGAAUUACUGGGCGUAAAGCGCAUGCAGGUGGUUUGUUAAGUCAGAUGUGAAAGCCCGGGGCUCAACCUCGGAGUUGCAUUUGAAACUGGCAGGCUAGAGUACUGUAGAGGGGGGUAGAAUUUCAGGUGUAGCGGUGAAAUGCGUAGAGAUCUGAAGGAAUACCGGUGGCGAAGGCGGCCCCCUGGACAGAUACUGACACUCAGAUGCGAAAGCGUGGGGAGCAAACAGGAUUAGAUACCCUGGUAGUCCACGCUGUAAACGAUGUCUACUUGGAGGUUGUGGCCUUGAGCCGUGGCUUUCGGAGCUAACGCGUUAAGUAGACCGCCUGGGGAGUACGGUCGCAAGAUUAAAACUCAAAUGAAUUGACGGGGGCCCGCACAAGCGGUGGAGCAUGUGGUUUAAUUCGAUGCAACGCGAAGAACCUUACCUACUCUUGACAUCCAGAGAAUCCUGCGGAGACGCGGGAGUGCCUUCGGGAGCUCUGAGACAGGUGCUGCAUGGCUGUCGUCAGCUCGUGUUGUGAAAUGUUGGGUUAAGUCCCGCAACGAGCGCAACCCUUAUCCUUGUUUGCCAGCACGUAAU